rnacentral:rRNA from 1 species
UACGUAGGGCGCAAGCGUUGUCCGGAAUUAUUGGGCGUAAAGAGCUCGUAGGCGGCUUGUCACGUCGGGUGUGAAAGCUCGGGGCUUAACCCCGGGUCUGCAUUCGAUACGGGCUGGCUGGAGUGUGGUAGGGGAGAUCGGAAUUCCUGGUGUAGCGGUGAAAUGCGCAGAUAUCAGGAGGAACACCGGUGGCGAAGGCGGAUCUCUGGGCCAUUACUGACGCUGAGGCACGAAAGCUAGGGGAGCAAACAGG